rnacentral:lncRNA from 1 species
UAUAGCGACUAUUUCAUCAAUCCCUCUCUAUCCUUUCUACCUUGGUAUCAACCUAACCAAUUCGACCAUAGCCGUCGCCCCCGGGGUGGUCUGUCUCCAUGACAGCUGUUGGGGCUGCGCCGCCCGUAUCUAGGGUUUGUCCGCCGAUCGUGUUGACCGUCCGUCCUAAAGAGUCUUUUUCUCGAUUUUUCGAUACAUAUUUUCUCUCUUUCGCCGGUCACUUUGAUCGUUUUCUUUUUGUUUUUCAAUAUAAG